GCGGGAGUAGCUUAGCGGUAGAGCGCAACAUUGCCAAUGUUGAGGUCGCGGGUUCAAAUCCCGUCUCCCGCU
rnacentral:tRNA from 1 species